AUGUGUCCCGCACAGCCUCUGACCGGCUGCAGCUCCCAUGCAAACCUGAGUUCAGUCCUGCGGGCUGCCUUCACACUGCCAGGGCUGCAAGAACAGGUUUGAUGCUUAAAACCAUGAAAUGAAAGGAAUCCGGGGAUGGGACUGUGGAAGUCACGUGCCAGUGAGAAUAGGGUAAUCAACACAAACACCUGGUGGUCCAGGAAGGUAUAUAAAACCACCCAUGAUUCAGAAACCUUCCAGCAGGUUGUCUUGGCUUCUCCUCGGUGAACUGAGUCUACAAUAUAG